GGGGUGGGUAAACUUUGAGGAUCCGGAGGUGGCGCUUUGGAUGUUGGAGAUGGUUUAUGCGGUACUGCCGGGAAUGAGCCACUUCCAGUAGAUGGAACAGUGACAACAUCUCUAGGGGGAGCAGAACCAACGGAAGCAGCAGGGAGAUUGCUGCUCAACUCAAGCAGCUUACGGCGAGCAUUCACAUAAUGUAGAUUUUGCACGAUAUAUGGAUCAGCGAAACCAGCCAAAAGAU
rnacentral:misc_RNA from 1 species